GAUGAAGAACGCAGCGAAAUGCGAUAAGUAGUGUGAAUUGCAGAAUUUAGUGAAUCAUCGAAUCUUUGAACGCACAUUGCGCCCUAUAGUAUUCUGUAGGGCAUGCCUGUUCGAGCGUUAUUGAGACCUCAAGCUCUGCUUGGAAAUGGGCGCUUGUCUUGCCUUGCAGACUCGCCUUAAAACCAUUGGCAGCUGAUUUACAAUGUUUGGUGCACAGUACAUGAGCCCAAGUGUUGCAAUGAGUGGCCCAAAAGUAUACAAUAGAAGCUUAACCUCGGAUCAGGUAGGGAUACCCGCUGAACUUAAGCAUAUCAAUGCGGAGGA
rnacentral:misc_RNA from 1 species